AAAAGGCUACAUUGAACAUAAUGACCGUUUCUCCACCAACUCUAAAUCCAAUGUAUUCAAAGCUUUAGUUGACGAUGACUGAGCGAGAAUCUCUGACAGACGACAACUAUAGAACAAAGUCUUGCCAAGAUGCAGUUACUUGCCAAAUCCCUAAUUUUUGCCUAGAUUGCCCCAAGGUGAGGUACUCAAUCUAGAGAGAUGUAUAUAUUAAUUUUUUUUAUGUCUCUA
rnacentral:lncRNA from 1 species